rnacentral:rRNA from 1 species
GGGGAAUAUUGGGCAAUGGGCGAAAGCCUGACCCAGCAACGCCGCGUGAGGGAAGAAGGUUUUCGGAUUGUAAACCUCUGUCCUCAGGGAAGAAAAAAAUGACGGUACCUGAGGAGGAAGCCCCGGCUAACUACGUGCCAGCAGCCGCGGUAAUACGUAGGGGGCGAGCGUUGUCCGGAAUGACUGGGCGUAAAGGGCGCGUAGGCGGCUCUGUAAGUCCGGAGUGAAAGUCCAGCUUUUAAGGUUGGAAUUGCUUUGGAAACUGUGGGGCUUGAGUGCGGAAGAGGUAAGUGGAAUUCCCAGUGUAGCGGUGAAAUGCGUAGAGAUUGGGAGGAACACCAGUGGCGAAGGCGACUUACUGGGCCGUAACUGACGCUGAUGCGCGAAAGCGUGGGGAGCGAAC